GAUUGAUGCUGUUAAGUGAUCAACUGACAAGGCUACAAUGCAUUAUUGUGUUCAAAUUUGCAGCUUAAUAAGUUUAACCCAAUGGGAGACACACUGGCCUCUGGAAUGGGUUUUAAUAUUAUGAUCUGGAGCCGGGAUGAGAUGGUAACCAAGAAGCAAUAGUGUCUCAUGCAAGCUAUGACAGAGCAGGGAAUCGGAUGCAGGAGCUUAACUCGGCAAGGAGGGCAGAGGCAGAGGCAAUCAAACACAGGAACAAGCAAACUCAAAUCAAAACUACUCAGUCUGGAACUGGAGGACACUAAAACAAAGGGCCAAGAGCGCAAAUUACAGGAGAAAAGGAGGAGAGGAAAGGAUGCAGAAGACUGAUCAGGCAAGCAUCUAUAGUGUUGAUUAAGCCAAGCCUGUACUCGUACAGUGGGCAACACUGGCCUCAAGCUCAUUUCCCUAAUCCAGCUUCUCUGGAUCAUGAAUGAUAUGUUGCAAAAACAAGGCAUCUUUCACCUAAGGGCAAGGAAUGGGUUAAAUUGGGCCCAAAAGGGCAUUGUAUCUGUACAUACUUGCUGAUUUUUAAUUGUUUAGGACACAGUUCAGUGCAAUGAACUGGGGUAUGCUGACUGUUCAGUUUGUAUUUUCAGAAUGAUUUUCUCCUCCAGUGUAUUGAGCAGCCCAUUUUUCUCCUAUGCUGCGACCUCAAACGAGUUCUUUCCCUGCAAAGAAGAACAUGUAGAUUCUUUCCCACCAUUCCUUCCUCAAACAGAUGUCUUGAGGCUACUGUUAACUUAGGCAUUUGCUUGAAAGUUAGCUCAAAACUGCUUGGCUACGCUCUUAAAGAAGCUGGUUGCAUCUAAGGAGGGCGGCUGUAAAGGUUUUAUAUUGCUGCUGCUAUUGCAAUUUUCUUAUUGUUAAGCACCAAGAUGUUGAAUAAAGUGUGUCUGUCAUACUA